rnacentral:rRNA from 1 species
GACGAACGCUGGCGGCGUGCUUAACACAUGCAAGUCGAGCGGUAAGGCUCCUUCGGGAGUACACGAGCGGCGAACGGGUGAGUAACACGUGAGCAAUCUGCCCUUCUCAUCGGAAUAACCAUUGGAAACGAUGGCUAAUGCCGAAUAUGACCUCGGAUCACAUGUUCUGAGGUGGAAAGCUCCGGCGGAGAAGGAUGAGCUCGCGGCCUAUCAGCUUGUUGGUGAGGUAAUAGCUCACCAAGGCGAUGACGGGUAGCCGGCCUGAGAGGGUGACCGGCCACACUGGGACUGAGACACGGCCCAGACUCCUACGGGAGGCAGCAGUGGGGAAUAUUGGACAAUGGGCGAAAGCCU